GCAUAUCAAUAAGCGGAGGAAAAGAAACCAACAGGGAUUGCCCUAGUAACGGCGAGUGAAGCGGCAACAGCUCAGAUUUGAAAUCUGGCGUCUUCAGCGUCCGAGUUGUAAUUUGCAGAGGGCGCUUUGGCAUUGGCAGCGGUCCAAGUUCCUUGGAACAGGACGUCACAGAGGGUGAGAAUCCCGUACGUGGUCGCUAGCCUUUACCGUGUAAAGCCCCUUCGACGAGUCGAGUUGUUUGGGAAUGCAGCUCUAAAUGGGAGGUAAAUUUCUUCUAAAGCUAAAUACUGGCCAGAGACCGAUAGCGCACAAGUAGAGUGAUCGAAAGAUGAAAAGCACUUUGGAAAGAGAGUUAAAAAGCACGUGAAAUUGUUGAAAGGGAAGCGCUUGCAGCCAGACUUGCCUGUAGUUGCUCAUCCGGGUUUCUACCCGGUGCACUCUUCUACGGGCAGGCCAGCAUCAGUUUGGGCGGUUGGAUAAAGGUCUCUGUCAUGUACCUCUCUUCGGGGAGAACUUAUAGGGGAGACGACAUGCAACCAGCCUGGACUGAGGUCCGCGCAUCUGCUAGGAUGCUGGCGUAAUGGCUGUAAGCGGCCCGUCUUGAAACACGGACC
rnacentral:rRNA from 1 species